rnacentral:rRNA from 1 species
GAGUUUGAUCCUGGCUCAGAUUGAACGCUGGCGGCAUGCCUUACACAUGCAAGUCGAACGGCAGCACGGGGGCAACCCUGGUGGCGAGUGGCGAACGGGUGAGUAAUACAUCGGAACGUGUCCUGUCGUGGGGGAUAACCAGUCGAAAGACUGGCUAAUACCGCAUGAGAUCGAGAGAUGAAAGCAGGGGACCGCAAGGCCUUGCGCGAUUGGAGCGGCCGAUGUCGGAUUAGCUUGUUGGCGGGGUAAAAGCCCACCAAGGCGACGAUCCGUAGCUGGUUUGAGAGAACGACCAGCCACACUGGGACUGAGACACGGCCCAGACUCCUACGGGAGGCAGCAGUGGGGAAUUUUGGACAAUGGGGGCAACCCUGAUCCAGCCAUGCCGCGUGUGUGAAGAAGGCCUUCGGGUUGUAAAGCACUUUCGGACGGAACGAAAUCGCACGGGUGAAUAUCCCGUGUGGAUGACGGUACUGUAAGAAGAAGCACCGGCUAACUACGUGCCAGCAGCCGCGGUAAUACGUAGGGUGCGAGCGUUAAUCGGAAUUACUGGGCGUAA